ensembl:lncRNA
UUUUGCUUCUAAAAAAAACCCCUUUUUUUCUUACCUUUUUAAUAUUUUUUGUUCACUCACCCUUUCUGUUGUCCUUGCCCUCCCUCAUUCGUCUCAGUAUAGCAGUUAUCUUCUCUCCUUUUUCAUCAGGUUCUCCUGGGGAGAGUGCUAGUGAUGUUGAGUGUUGUGUGUCUGCAUCUGCACUGUGUGUGUGUAAUGAGAGGGAUAUCCUCUUGGAGACUCCUGUCUGGCAAGAGCUGGAAAGAGAUCAUCACCUUGUGGACCUGAUAUCAACAGAGAGAGACAGAGAGAGAGAGAGUGAAAAACAAGGAAAGAGAGAUGCUCCAUUUUACAAUCGACUGAAGAAAAGAAAUAUCAACCAUCGAGAUGAAAUUAAAAUAAUUAGAGACUUCAAAUUCACUUAUCACGGGGGGAAAAGUUUUGGUUUUCCUUCAUACUUACUUUGGGAAAAUUAAACCAUUAAGUGCUGUUAGUUUGUGAGAAGCAAUCAGAUAACAACCUUGUCAUUUCAUGAUUUCCCAGGUGCAUGAAGGCCCAAUUAGGACAGUAUAUGCAAAAGGCCGGGCACUGAAGAGUGAAGCUGAAUGUCAGAGCCUGUAAGUCACGUAAAGUUCACCCCGUCACAUCUUUGAUGAACCUGUUCAAGCUUUAGCUAAUUUUGCAUUUGCUUCCAUUUUAAUUAACCAAACAAAAGAAUAUUAUCUUGCUUACCAAAGCAUUUUGAAACUCUGAUGACAAUUGAAUUCAAGUGUGAUGCAGUGAUCACAUCUAUGGUGUCUUGAUUCAGAUUUCACAUUGAUUCAUCCAACAUUGGGAAAAGGCUGUCACUUGUUCUGACUCUUAAAGGGAUAGUUCACCCAAAAAUGAAAAUAAUUAUUUACUCACCCUCAGGUUGUUCAAAAUAUCUUAUUUUAUGUGCUACAUAAAUCAUUUGAUAUGAUGCGAUGUGAUGAAAGUAUGUGAUAGAUGGCAAAUGUUUUGCGUUUCAAAACCAAAUUAACUAAAUAAAAUGGCUUUUUUAUAUAUGAAAUGUUAUUUC